UUUAAGCGCAGUCAUGAGUUUUCAUGUCCAACUUUGAUCAUCCGUGUUAUUUGAAAUUUUUUAUGAUUAAUAUUUUUAUUGUUAUUAGAUGAUAAAACAUGAAUAGUACUUUAUGCGUGGCUUAUGUUUCUUUAUUUUUUUAAAAAAAAUAAAACGAACGAUUAAAGUUUGACAUAGAAAUUCAUGGCUACGUUUAAA
rnacentral:pre_miRNA from 1 species